CCGCGGUGCAUUAGCUAGUUGGUGAGGUAACGGCUCACCAAGGCGACGAUGCAUAGCCGACCUGAGAGGGUGAUCGGCCACAUUGGGACUGAGACACGGCCCAAACUCCUACGGGAGGCAGCAGUAGGGAAUCUUCGGCAAUGGACGAAAGUCUGACCGAGCAACGCCGCGUGAGUGAAGAAGGUUUUCGGAUCGUAAAACUCUGUUGUUAGAGAAGAACAAGGAUGAGAGUAACUGUUCAUCCCUUGACGGUAUCUAACCAGAAAGCCACGGCUAACUACGUGCCAGCAGCCGCGGUAAUACGUAGGUGGCAAGCGUUGUCCGGAUUUAUUGGGCGUAAAGCGAGCGCAGGCGGUUUCUUAAGUCUGAUGUGAAAGCCCCCGGCUCAACCGGGGAGGGUCAUUGGAAACUGGGAGACUUGAGUGCAGAAGAGGAGAGUGGAAUUCCAUGUGUAGCGGUGAAAUGCGUAGAUAUAUGGAGGAACACCAGUGGCGAAGGCGGCUCUCUGGUCUGUAACUGACGCUGAGGCUCGAAAGCGUGGGGAGCAAACAGGAUUAGAUACCCUGGUAGUCCACG
rnacentral:rRNA from 1 species